rnacentral:rRNA from 1 species
AGGACGAACGCUGGCGGCGUGCUUAACACAUGCAAGUCGAGCGGAAAGGCCCUUCGGGGUACUCGAGCGGCGAACGGGUGAGUAACACGUGAGCAACCUGCCCUUAGCUCUGGGAUAGCUCCGGGAAACCGGAAAUUAAUACCGGAUAUUACACCGGCUGGCAUCCGGCUGGUGUGGAAAGAUUUAUCGGCUAAGGAUGGACUCGCGGCCUAUCAGCUUGUUGGUGGGGUAGAAGCCUACCAAGGCGACGACGGGUA